rnacentral:rRNA from 1 species
CCCUUAGAUGUCCUGGGCCGCACGCGUGCUACACUGACGCCUACAGCGAGCACUUUCCAGCCCCGAGAGGCGGCUGGUAAUCAGCAAUAGGCGUCGUGAUGGGGAUAGAUCUUUGGAAUUAUGGAUCUUGAACGAGGAAUGCCUAGUAAGCGCAGGUCAUUAGCCUGCGCUGAUUAAGUCCCUGCCCUUUGUACACACCGCCCGUCGCUCCUACCGAUUUCGAGUGGUCCGGCGAAUCUUUCGGACUGCGCGCGGCCUUGAGUCGUGUCGCGGAAAGUCAGGUAAACCUUAUCACUUAGAGGAAGGAGAAGUCGUAACA